UACGGAGGAUCCAAGCGUUAUCCGGAUUCAUUGGGUUUAAAGGGUGCGUAGGCGGAAUAAUAAGUCAGUGGUGAAAGCCUGUUGCUUAACAACAGAACUGCCAUUGAUACUGUUAAUCUUGAGUACAUUUGAUGUGGGCGGAAUGUGUCAUGUAGCGGUGAAAUGCUUAGAUAUGACACAGAACACCGAUUGCGAAGGCAGCUCACAAAACUAUAACUGACGCUGAGGCACGAAAGCGUGGGUAU
rnacentral:rRNA from 1 species